UGAUCGUAGAAGAACUUCGGGAUAUGUCUUUGCUUUGGGAUCAAAAAUAAUCUCUUGGUCAUCAAAGUAACAACAAACCGUGGCAUUAUCUUCAGCGGAAGCAGAGUACAUCUCAGCUGCUAAUGCGGCAUGUGAAGCAGUGUGGCUUAGAAGAAUACUCCUUAACUUGGAGCAAGGACAAGAUGGGCAUACAACAAUUUAUUGUGACAACAUGUCGG
rnacentral:lncRNA from 1 species